rnacentral:lncRNA from 1 species
UGCAUUUGAGACUUAGUUCCACUGCCUGAAGUUGAAGCAGUAUGAGGGUUUCCAAGAAUUGACGGCACAUUCCUUCCACCAGCAGGAGAUGACUUUUGGUUGGGAAGUGAAGGCGAGGAUUUACCCUGCUGUGCUGACAAUGAUGAGCUUUGGCCGCCAGUUUUAUUGCUUGCAGAAGCAGAAUUUGUCGAGGAUUUACCCUGCUGUGUUGACAAUGAUGAGCUUUGGCCGCCGGUUUUAUUGCUUGCAGAAGCAGAAUUCGUAUGCCUUGGGCUUCCACUGGCACCUUUUGAGAUUGAAGAA